UACGAAGGGGGCUAGCGUUGUUCGGAAUUACUGGGCGUAAAGCGCACGUAGGCGGGUCGUUAAGUCAGGGGUGAAAUCCCGGAGCUCAACUCCGGAACUGCCUUUGAUACUGGCGAUCUUGAGAUCGGAAGAGGUGAGUGGAAUUCCCAGUGUAGAGGUGAAAUUCGUAGAUAUUGGGAAGAACACCGGUGGGCGAAGGCGGCCAUCUGGACCGCAACUGACGCUGAGGCGCGAAAGCGUGGGGAGCAAACAGG
rnacentral:rRNA from 1 species